rnacentral:rRNA from 1 species
UACGUAGGGUGCAAGCGUUAAUCGGAAUUACUGGGCGUAAAGCGUGCGCAGGCGGUUAUGCAAGACAGAUGUGAAAUCCCCGGGCUUAACCUGGGAACUGCAUUUGUGACUGCAUAGCUAGAGUGCGGCAGAGGGGGAUGGAAUUCCGCGUGUAGCAGUGAAAUGCGUAGAUAUGCGGAGGAACACCGAUGGCGAAGGCAAUCCCCUGGGCCUGCACUGACGCUCAUGCACGAAAGCGUGGGGAGCAAACAGG